rnacentral:rRNA from 1 species
AUUGAACGCUGGCGGCAUGCCUUACACAUGCAAGUCGAACGGCAGCACGGGAGCUUGCUCCUGGUGGCGAGUGGCGAACGGGUGAGUAAUACAUCGGAACGUACCCUGAAGUGGGGGAUAACGUAGCGAAAGUUACGCUAAUACCGCAUAUUCUGUGAGCAGGAAAGAGGGGGGAUCGCAAGACCUCUUGCUUUAGGAGCGGCCGAUGUCGGAUUAGCUAGUUGGUGAGGUAAAGGCUCACCAAGGCGACGAUCCGUAGCGGGUCUGAGAGGAUGAUCCGCCACACUGGGACUGAGACACGGCCCAGACUCCUACGGGAGGCAGCAGGUGGGGAAUUUUGGACAAUGGGCGCAAGCCUGAUCCAGCCAUGCCGCGUGAGUGAAGAAGGCCUUCGGUU